rnacentral:rRNA from 2 species
CCUUACCAGGGCUUGACAUGCCGCUGACCAGUGCAGAGAUGCAUCUUUAUCCUUCGGGGUACAGCGGACACAGGUGGUGCAUGGUUGUCGUCAGCUCGUGUCGUGAGAUGUUGGGUUAAGUCCCGCAACGAGCGCAACCCUUGUCUUUAGUUGCCAUCAUUAAGUUGGGCACUCUAAAGAGACUGCCGAUGACAAAUCGGAGGAAGGUGGGGAUGACGUCAAAUCAUCAUGCCCUUUAUGUCCUGGGCUACACACGUGCUACAAUGGUCGGUACAACGAGAAGCAAGUCAGCGAUGGCAAGCAAAUCUCUAAAAGCCGAUCCCAGUUCGGAUUGCAGGCUGCAACUCGCCUGCAUGAAGUCGGAGUUGCUAGUAAUCGCGGAUCAGAAUGCCGCGGUGAAUGCGUUCCCGGGUCUU